ACGAACGCUGGCGGCGUGCUUAACACAUGCAAGUCGAACGGUGAAGCGCCUUCCUUUUUGGUGGGUGUGGAUGAGUGGCGAACGGGUGAGUAACACGUGAGUAACCUGCCCCCUUCUUCUGGAUAACCGCAUGAAAGUGUGGCUAAUACGGGAUAUUCUGGGUCUGUCGCAUGAUGGGUCUGGGAAAGAUAUUGUUUCGGUGGGGGAUGGGCUCGCGGCCUAUCAGCUUGUUGGUGGGGUGAUGGCCUACCAAGGCGGUGACGGGUAGCCGGCCUGAGAGGGUGGACGAGCACACUGGGACGGAGGCACGGCCCAAACGCCUACGGGAGGCAGCAGUGGGGAAUAUUGCACAAUGGGCGCAAGCCUGAUGCAGCAUCGCCGCGUGAGGGAUGGAGGCCUUCGGGUUGUGAACCUCUUUCGCCAGUGAAGCAGGCCUGCCUCGUUUGUGGGUGGGUUGACGGUAGCUGGAUAAGAAGCGCCGGCUAACUACGUG
rnacentral:rRNA from 1 species